rnacentral:rRNA from 1 species
AGUGAACGCUGGCGGUAGGCCUAACACAUGCAAGUCGAACGGCAGCACAGGAGAGCUUGCUCUCUGGGUGGCGAGUGGCGGACGGGUGAGGAAUACAUCGGAAUCUACUCUGUCGUGGGGGAUAACGUAGGGAAACUUACGCUAAUACCGCAUACGACCUACGGGUGAAAGCAGGGGAUCUUCGGACCUUGCGCGAUUGAAUGGGCCGAUGUCGGAUUAGCUAGUUGGCGGGGUAAAGGCCCACCAAGGCGACGAUCCGUAGCUGGUCUGAGAGGAUGAUCAGCCACACUGGAACUGAGACACGGUCCAGACUCCUACGGGAGGCAGCAGUGGGGAAUAUUGUACAAUGGGCGCAAGCCUGAUCCAGCCAUACCGCGUGGGUGAAGAAGGCCUUCGGGUUGUAAAGCCCUUUUGUUGGGAAAGAAAUCCAGCUGGCUAAUACCCGGUUGGGAUGACGGUACCCAAAGAAUAAGCACCGGCUAACUUCGUGCCAGCAGCCGCCGUAA